rnacentral:rRNA from 1 species
UGGGGAAUCUUAGACAAUGGGCGAAAGCCUGAUCUAGCCAUGCCGCGUGAGUGACGAAGGCCCUAGGGUCGUAAAGCUCUUUCACCAGGGAAGAUAAUGACGGUACCUGGAGAAGAAACCCCGGCUAACUCCGUGCCAGCAGCCGCGGUAAUACGGAGGGGGUUAGCGUUGUUCGGAAUUACUGGGCGUAAAGCGCGCGUAGGCGGACUGUUAAGUCAGGGGUGAAAUCCCGGGGCUCAACCCCGGAACUGCCCUUGAUACUGGCAGUCUUGAGUUCGAGAGAGGUGAGUGGAAUUCCGAGUGUAGAGGUGAAAUUCGUAGAUAUUCGGAGGAACACCAGUGGCGAAGGCGGCUCACUGGCUCGAUACUGACGCUGAGGUGCGAAAGUGUGGGGAGCAAACAGGAUUAGAUACCCCCGUAGUCC